rnacentral:rRNA from 1 species
ACGGUUGACCUCGGAUCAGGUAGGGAUACCCGCUGAACUUAAGCAUAUCAAUAAGCGGAGGAA